AACGUAGGAGACAAACGUUAUCCGGAGUUACUGGGCGUAAAGGGCGUGUAGGUGGUAGUGUAAGUCUGGCGUGAAAUUUUUCGGCUUAACCGGGAAAGGUCGUCGGAUACUGCACAACUAGAGGACGGUAGAGGCGUGUGGAAUUCCGGGUGUAGUGGUGAAAUGCGUAGAGAUCCGGAGGAACACCAGUGGCGAAGGCGACACGCUGGGCCGUACCUGACGCUGAGACGCGAAAGCGUGGGGAGCGAACCGG
rnacentral:rRNA from 1 species